CGCGUAGGCGGCAUGGCAAGUCGGGAGUGAAAGCCCGGGGCUCAACCCCGGAGGGUCUCUCGAAACUGCCAAGCUAGAGUGCGGAAGAGGCAACUGGAAUUCCCAGUGUAGCGGUGAAAUGCGUAGAUAUUGGGAAGAACACCGGAGGCGAAGGCGGGUUGCUGGGCCGACACUGACGCUGAGGCGCGAAAGCCAGGGGAGCAAACGGGAUUAGAUACCCCGGUAGUCCUGGCCCUAAACGAUGGAUACUUGGUGUAUGGGGUUCUCACAGUCCCCGUGUGCCGUAGCUAACGCGGUAAGUAUCCCGCCUGGGGAGUACGGUCGCAAGGCUGAA
rnacentral:rRNA from 1 species